GACGAACGCUGGCGGCGUGCUUAACACAUGCAAGUCGAACGGAAAGGCCCUGCUUUUGUGGGGUGCUCGAGUGGCGAACGGGUGAGUAACACGUGUGUAACCUGCCCUUGACUUUGGGAUAACUUCAGGAAACUGGGGCUAAUACCGGAUAGGAGCUCCUGUUGCAUGGUGGGGGUUGGAAAGUCUCGGCGGUUGGGGAUGGACUCGCGGCUUAUCAGCUUGUUGGUGGGGGAGUGGCUUACCAAGGCUUUGAAGGGUAGCCGGCACGAGAGGGUGACCGGGCACAUGGGUACUGAGAGACGGCGCAGACGCCAAUGGGAGGCAGCAGUGGGGAAUAUUACACAAUGAGAGGAAGCCUGAUGCAGCAACGCCGCGUGCGGAAUGACGGCCUUCGGGUUGUAAACCGCAUUCGCCUGUGACGAAGCGUGAGUGACGGUAAUGAGUGAAUAAGCACCGGCUAACUACGUG
rnacentral:rRNA from 1 species